AUUGAACGCUGGCGGCAGGCCUAACACAUGCAAGUCGAGCGGAUGAAGGGAGCUUGCUCCUGGAUUCAGCGGCGGACGGGUGAGUAAUGCCUAGGAAUCUGCCUGGUAGUGGGGGAUAACGUCCGGAAACGGGCGCUAAUACCGCAUACGUCCUGAGGGAGAAAGUGGGGGAUCUUCGGACCUCACGCGAUCAGAUGAGCCUAGGUCGGAUUAGCUAGUUGGUGGGGUAAAGGCCUACCAAGGCGACGAUCCGUAACUGGUCUGAGAGGAUGAUCAGUCACACUGGAACUGAGACACGGUCCAGACUCCUACGGGAGGCAGCAGUGGGGAAUAUUGGACAAUGGGCGAAAGCCUGAUCCAGCCAGGCCGCGUGUGUGAAGAAGGUCUUCGGAUUGUAAAGCACUUUAAGUUGGGAGGAAGGGCAGUAAGUUAAUACCUUGCUGUUUUGACGUUACCAACAGAAGAAGCACCGGCUAACUUCGUG
rnacentral:rRNA from 1 species